CGAAAAACACAUUACAAAAAUGUAAUAUGUUAUAUGUGUAUAUGCCAAAAUAAAGAAAAAAACACAAUUUUACUCCAAUAUUUAGCAGAGAUUGGCGAUAAAAUGGCUACGUAAAAAGUGUCAAACUAACCUCAGGUAAAUAGUUUGUGAUGUCUACUUUAUAGACAUAUAUACUUUUGUGUGGCAAUUCUUUUUUUCUGUGAUGGCUACUAAACCUACAAGACAAACAUACAAACUUCUAAAAUUGUUGCAAAUUGAAAGUUUUAGUCCUUGUAUUUUGUGACCUGUAACUUUCAAAAUAAGCUGAAAUCCUAUACAUAUGAUGUACUCUAUAAAUCAAGACACAUACAUGAGUUUAUUUUAAAUUACUUUUUCUAAAC